AGCAGCCGCGGUAAUUCCAGCUCCAAUAGCGUAUAUUAAAGUUGUUGCAGUUAAAAAGCUCGUAGUUGAAUUUCGGAAUCAAUAUGUCGGUCGUGCUUCGGUACGUACUGGUAUCAUUGGUUUCUCCUUUCUGACGAACCAUGAUGUCAUUAAUUUGGUGUUAUGGGGAGUUAGGACUGUUACUUUGAAAAAUUAGAGUGUUUAAAGCAGGCUUUAGCUUGAAUACAUUAGCAUGGAAUAAUGAAAUAGGACGUUCGAACCUAUUUUGUUGGUUUCUAGGAUCAACGUAAUGAUUAAUAGGGAUAGUUGGGGGCAUUAGUAUUCAAUUGUCAGAGGUGAAAUUCUUGGAUUUAUUGAAGACUAACUACUGCGAAAGCAUUUGCCAAGGAUGUUUUCAUUAAUCAAGAACGAAAGUUAGGGGAUCGAAGACGAUCAGAUACCGUCGUAGUC
rnacentral:rRNA from 1 species